GACUGCGCCGACGAAGGAGACUGC
rnacentral:siRNA from 1 species